AGCAGUAUGGUGUAUCACAGCACACAGGGUAUCCAUAAAAUGGAUUUAUCUGCGUCCCCUGAGGUCCUUGUUCAAACCAAGGUACUGCUA